AGCAGCCGCGGUAAUUCCAGCUCCAAUAGCGUAUAUUAAAGUUGCUGCAGUUAAAAAGCUCGUAGUUGAAUUUCGGGACCAAUAUGUCGGUCGUGCCUCGGUACGUACUGGCAUCGUUGGUUUCUCCCUUCUGACGAACCAUGAUGUCAUUUAUUUGGUGUCGUGGGGAAUCAGGACUGUUACUUUGAAAAAAUUAGAGUGUUUAAAGCAGGCUCACGCUUGAAUACAUUAGCAUGGAAUAAUGAAAUAGGACGUUUGAUUCUAUUUUGUUGGUUUCUAGGAUCGACGUAAUGAUUAAUAGGGAUAGUUGGGGGCAUUAGUAUUCAAUUGUCAGAGGUGAAAUUCUUGGAUUUAUUGAAGACUAACUACUGCGAAAGCAUUUGCCAAGGAUGUUUUCAUUAAUCAAGAACGAAAGUUAGGGGAUCGAAGACGAUCAGAUACCGUCGUAGUCUUAACCAUAAACUAUGCCGACUAGGGAUCGGAUGAUGUUAAUUUUUAAUGACUCAUUCGGCGCCUUAAC
rnacentral:rRNA from 1 species